UUGACGUUACCCGCAGAAGAAGCACCGGCUAACUCCGUGCCAGCAGCCGCGGUAAUACGGAGGGUGCAAGCGUUAAUCGGAAUUACUGGGCGUAAAGCGCACGCAGGCGGGUUGUUAAGUCAGAUGUGAAAUCCCCGGGCUCAACCUGGGAACUGCAUCUGAUACUGGCAAGCUUGAGUCUCGUAGAGGGGGGUAGAAUUCCAGGUGUAGCGGUGAAAUGC
rnacentral:rRNA from 1 species